rnacentral:lncRNA from 1 species
GCUGAGCGUCAAAUCGAAAGACCGACCUUCUUGAAUUCUUGGGCCUUCUUCUGCAAUCAAAAUGAGAAAAGAAAGGAGUUUGGUAAAAGACCGCUCUUCAAUACGGCCAUGUGACGCUUAUCUCGGAGCGUCUACCAAUCUUCGCUUAAAAAAAUUGAUGACAGUGCAUUGGUUUUAGCAUGUUGGCCUUUGCGGUUCACCAAAACCACAUUGACCCAAAAGCAGUCACCUUCUCCCGUACAAGAACAUCAAAUCAGAUUACUGUUCAAAGGGGAAGACUUCCCCGCAACAGCAAGUCAAGAUUCCAGAACCAGACCGAGCCUUGAAUCGCGAGCGCCUUCAUCCCUCAUUUCUUCCAACACCCCAUCAAAUAAUGAAGAAGAAGAAGAAGGAGAAGAUGAAGAUGAUGAUGAUGAAGGGUGUAACGUGCCUGUGAAGGUUCUUGGUGGGUCUCUGCGGCGACGGACGGAAGGACGGAUCGGCUCGGGCUCGCUUGGGACGGAAGGCCUCGUUUCCCUCCCGAUGCUGCUCGUGACAAUUCGCGCGAACAGAGAGCUGGAGAGCAGUUCAAGCUUCCCCUUUUGAGAUCGGGAGAAGAGCGCGCGCGUGCGUGCGUGGUUGGACUGGUGUGCGGUUCUUGCUUUCUGUUGUGAGGAAGUACAGUCCCUACGUAAAUUCUCUUUUUUAUUCUUUUUCUUUUCCUCUUUUUUUUUUUUUUUCCCCUGGGGCCAACGUGUCCAAGUUCCGUGAUUCUAAUGAUUAAUUUAGACCAGGUAAAAUUCUCUUUUGUCCAAGUUAGACCAGGUAAAAUUCUAAUGUCCAAGUUCUUGCUUUCUGUUGUGAGGAAGUACAGUCCCUACGUAAAUUCUCUUUUUUAUUCUUUUUCUUUUCCUCUUUUUAUUUUUUUUUUCCCCUGGGGCCAACGUGUCCAAGUUCCGUG